rnacentral:rRNA from 1 species
AUUGAACGCUGGCGGCAGGCUUAACACAUGCAAGUCGAGCGGAGAGAGGUAGCUUGCUACUGAUCUUAGCGGCGGACGGGUGAGUAAUGCUUAGGAAUCUGCCUAUUAGUGGGGGACAACAUUUCGAAAGGAAUGCUAAUACCGCAUACGUCCUACGGGAGAAAGCAGGGGAUCCUCGGACCUGGCGCUAAUAGAUGAGCCUAAGUCGGAUUAGCUAGGUGGUGGGGUAAAGGCCUACCAAGGCGACGAUCUGUAGCGGGUCUGAGAGGAUGAUCCGCCACACUGGGACUGAGACACGGCCCAGACUCCUACGGGAGGCAGCAGUGGGGAAUAUUGGACAAUGGGCGGAAGCCUGAUCCAGCCAUGUCGCGUGUGUGAAGAAGGCCUUAUGGUUGUAAAGCACUUUAAGCGAGGAGGAGGCUACUUUAGUUAAUACCUAGAGAUAGUGGACGUUACUCGCAGAAUAAGCACCGGCUAACUCUGUGCCAGCCGCCGCAGUAA